UACAGAGGGGGCAAGCGUUGUUCGGAAUUACUGGGCUUAAAGGGUGCGUAGGCUGUGCGGAAAGUUGGGUGUGAAAUCCCCCGGCUCAACCGGGGAAUUGCGCCCAAAACUACCGUGCUUGAGGAAGACAGAGGUGAGCGGAACUUCGGGUGGAGCGGUGAAAUGCGUUGAUAUCCGAAGGAGCACCGGUGGCGAAAGCGGCUCACUGGGUCUUUUCUGACGCUGAUGCACGAAAGCUAGGGGAGCAAACGGG
rnacentral:rRNA from 1 species